UGAGGAAUAUUGGUCAAUGGACGGAAGUCUGAACCAGCCAUGCCGCGUGAAGGAUGAAGGCGUUCUGCGUUGUAAACUUCUUUUAUCUGGGAAGAAACCACAGAUUUCUAUUUGUGUUGACGGUACCAGAAGAAUAAGCACCGGCUAACUCCGUGCCAGCAGCCGCGGUAAUACGGAGGGUGCGAGCGUUAUCCGGAUUUACUGGGUUUAAAGGGUGCGUAGGCGGGCUAUUAAGUCAGAGGUGAAAUCUCCGGGCUCAACCUGGAAACUGCCUUUGAUAAUAUUAGCCUUGAAUUAUGUUGAGGUCGGCGGAAUAUACCAUGUAGCGGUGAAAUGCGUAGAUAUGUUAUGGAACACCGAUUGCGAAGGCAGCUGGCUAAACAUAUAUCGACGCUGAUGCACGAAAGCGUGGGUGGCGAACA
rnacentral:rRNA from 1 species